rnacentral:rRNA from 1 species
AGGACGAACGCUGGCGGCGUGCUUAACACAUGCAAGUCGAGCGGAAAGGCCCUUCGGGGUACUCGAGCGGCGAACGGGUGAGUAACACGUGGGCAACCUGCCCCUAGCUCUGGGAUAACUCCGGGAAACCGGUGCUAAUACCGGAUACGACUUCCUCCGGCAUCUGAGGAAGUGGAAAGUUUUUCGGCUAGGGAUGGGCCCGCGGCCUAUCAGCUUGUUGGUGGGGUAACGGCCCACCAAGGCGACGACGGGUAGCC